rnacentral:rRNA from 1 species
UAGGGAAUCUUCCACAAUGGGACAGCAGUCUGAUGGAGCAACGCCGCGUGAGUGAAGAAGGCUUUCGGGUCGUAAAACUCUGUUAUUGAAGAAGAACGUGCGUGACAGUAACUGGUCAUGCAGUGACGGUAUUCAAUCAGAAAGUCACGGCUAACUACGUGCCAGCAGCCGCGGUAAUACGUAGGUGGCAAGCGUUGUCCGGAUUUAUUGGGCGUAAAGCGAGUGCAGGCGGUCUUUUAAGUCUGAUGUGAAAGCCUUCGGCUUAACCGAAGAAGGGCAUCGGAAACUGGGAGACUUGAGUGCAGAAGAGGAGAGUGGAACUCCAUGUGUAGCGGUGAAAUGCGUAGAUAUAUGGAAGAACACCAGUGGCGAAGGCGGCUCUCUGGUCUGUAACUGACGCUGAGGCUCGAAAGCGUGGGUAGCAAACAGGAUUAGAUACCCUGGUAGUCCACGC